CCUACGGGUGGCAGCAGUAGGGAAUCUUCCACAAUGGGCGAAAGCCUGAUGGAGCAACCCCGCGUGGGUGAAGAAGGUCUUCGGAUCGUAAAACCCUGUUGUUAGAGAAGAAAGUGCGUGAGAGUAACUGUUCACGUUUCGACGGUAUCUAACCAGAAAGUCACGGCCAACUACGUGCCAGCAGCCGCGGUACGACGUAGGUGGCAAGAGUUAUCCGGAGUUAUUGGGCGUAAAGGGAACGCAGGCGGGCUUUUAAGUCUGAUGUGAAAGCCUUUGGCGUAACCGGAGUAGGUCAUUGGAAGCUGGGAGACUUGAGUGCAGGAGAGGAGAGUGGAACUCCAUGUGUAGCGGUGAAAUGCGUAGAUAUAUGGAAGAACACCAGUGGCGAAAGCGGCUCUCUGGUCUGUAACUGACGCUGAGGUUCGAAAGCGUGGGUAGCAAACAGGAUUAGAUACCCUUGUAGUC
rnacentral:rRNA from 1 species